UUGGGAAAUCUCUCCUUUGACUUUCAGAAUAGCACAGAAGCAGAGACUUUAUGUCUAAGCAGACCUAGAUUCAGAGCAGACCCGAAGCUGCUUGAAGAAGGCUGGAGGUAUGUUAAGGAGACAAGAGCUGUCAAGAAGCAGGGAUGUCUCUGGAAAGGAACCUGUAAUAUUUUUGUGCUAUGCCAGAGAUUGACUGAAACAACUAUAGAAUCUGAUAGCUUCUUUAGGACCAAGGAGCAAGAUGGUGACAUAAGAAUGCUAUCAAUCUGCUCCCUCUUCUCUACCUCCCUCCAACAAUUACGCUUCAGAACUCUAGUGGCAUUUAUCUGGCAUUUAUAUUUCAUGAUUACAUUCCAUUUCAUUUAAUCAAGCCCAGUGAAUGUUCCUAUUGGAAUUUGAUAAAAAUGGAAUUAACUUUACUAAAUUCAAAAUGAUUUUUUAUAUUGAAAAUUGCCAAUCAUGGUUAUGCUACCUGUUUCACUUCUUUUGGGUCUUUGUUAUAUUUAUAUAUUUUUUGUUAUUGCAAGUGGUAUCUCUUCUUGUCUGUAUUAACACAUAGUAAUAAGUAAUAUAAACAGCAACAAAUGGUAGCUAUUCUUGUUAGAUUAUGAACACUGGAAGACAGAGAUCACCUGAGAUCAUUUCAGAGACUGGUUACCAUAUAGUGUCAGAGUCCAAGACGACUUAGUAGGGUGUUUAUGCAGAGGGAUGCCUGAAGUGGGUGCUCAAAGGAAGUGAGAACAUGGAUCUUCUUGAUGGCAGCCUGGGUCAGUGUGUCAAAGCCUGAGCAGAGUGCCCAUAUAGAGAGGGAACAUGGCAUCAGGAGAUAUAAAACCCAAACCAGGUGAGAAGGGCAAUCAUGUGAAGGGAGAGGUAGGCUGCUGCAAUCAGAAGUUGGUUGUAUAAUGGAGAUUGAUUAUAUCAGUAGUUAUAUUUAAAACUAGGAAAAAAUAACUAUAUCAGUAGGCAUAUAGUUACAUAUUUAAAACUAGUUAAAUAUAGCUAUAUCAGUAGUUAUGUUUAAAACUACUGGAAUAGAACUAGGAAAAGAGCAAGCACACAGGAAUCAGGUUUCUGUCGAAAAAGUAUUAACAAGUAAGUAGACAAUGGAAAAAAGUUCUCCUUUUGUGAUGGAAUUUAAAAUAUUGAUGCAAAUUUAUAAAUUAUGGUCAAUAAACAAUAAAUAGGUUAUAGAUAGAAAAAUUUGAAUAUCUAUAUGUGUGUGUAUAUAUAUAUACACACACACACAAAUAUGUUUACACACAUAUAUACACAUACAUUUCCUACUUCUGUCCAUGGCGAGUGCCUUUCAGUAGUAAAUUCCUCAUACCUAAAUAGGCAAUUUAGCCUAAAGAGCAUGAUGUAUACCAUUCUUGUCCAAAAGUAACUAGAUUUCUUGCAGAAAUGACUGAAUUCACCAAGUUCAGGGAAAAUAAGAGAUGAGCCUGAAAUAUCUUUAUGUACCAGAAAGUAAGAAAGUGUUCAGAGUAGUGGGGACAUGUCCAAAGGAUACAGAAGUGAGCUUCAGUGGGAUCCUACUGACCAAACUUAGGGGAAUGUGAACCAUUCAAAUAAACAAUGAUAGUAAGAAAAUGAGUCUAUAUUAAUAUACAUUAAUAUACUAAUAAAUGAAAGUUUGAACAGAAAGGGAAUGUUUACAUUGCUUCAAAUUACUUCUCUACAAAAUAUUUAUUAGUUAUGAAAAGGGAAAAGUGUAGCCUCACAAGAAAGUAUAGUACAAAAUAGCCUAAAGUUCCCCCAAAUGCCCAAGUGUCGAAAUAACUGUUAUAUAUUACUGAAGGAUAUAUAAUGACAUGACAACUAAAUGUAAUACACAAUUCCAAACCUAAUGCCUUUAGUAUAAAGAAUAUUAUUGUGACAACCGGCAAAAUGCAAUUUAGAUUUAUAAUUUAUAAAUUUAAAUUUCAUGAUUGUUUCUUUCGCAGGAUAAUGUCCUUGUUUAUAGGAAAUACACACUAAAAUAGUCAGGGGUGAUGAAACAUCAGAUUGGCAACUUACUCUCAUAUAGCACAUGAAAAAAUGUAAAAGACUUUCUAUGUAUUGUACUUGCAUUU
ensembl:lncRNA